rnacentral:rRNA from 1 species
GAUGAACGCUGGCGGCGUGCCUAAUACAUGCAAGUCGUACGCACUGGCCCAACUGAUUGAUGGUGCUUGCACCUGAUUGACGAUGGAUCACCAGUGAGUGGCGGAUGGGUGAGUAACACGUAGGUAACCUGCCCCGGAGCGGGGGAUAACAUUUGGAAACAGAUGCUAAUACCGCAUAACAACAAAAACCACAUGGCUUUUGUUUGAAAGAUGGCUUUGGCUAUCACUCUGGGAUGGACCUGCGGUGCAUUAGCUAGUUGGUAAGGUAACGGCUUACCAAGGCAACGAUCAGUAGCCGGCCUGAGAGGGUGAACGGCCACAUUGGGACUGAGACACGGCCCAA